rnacentral:lncRNA from 1 species
GACGGGUUGCGGACGGAGAUUGACGCCUAGCCGCCGAAGCCGUAGAGGGUGCGGCCCUGGCGCUUGAGCGCGUAGACGACGUCCAUGGCGGUGACGGUCUUGCGGCGGGCGUGCUCGGUGUAGGUGACGGCGUCGCGGAUGACGUUCUCGAGGAAGAUCUUGAGCACGCCGCGGGUCUCCUCGUAGAUGAGCCCCGAGAUGCGCUUCACGCCGCCCCUCCGAGCGAGCCUCCGGAUCGCCGGCUUGGUGAUGCCCUGGAUGUUGUCGCGCAGCACCUUCCUGUGGCGCUUGGCGCCGCCCUUGCCGAGCCCCUUGCCUCCCUUGCCGCGCCCGGACAUGGCUGACGAUCUCUGUUUGGUUCGAGCUGCGAGCGGAUGCGGGUCGAGGGAGCGGUCGUGGAUUGUGGUGUUCUGAUUUGGGGGAAGGAGGGGAGGGGAUUAAAAGGGGUGGGAGGAAGGCGAUGCGUGCCAAAGAAUUGCGAAGGUCGAGACCGCGAUCCGGGUAUGGAUGCCGCGGAUCCGUGACGUGGCGGGAGUCUCGGCGCGGUAGAUUGGCGGGGCGCGCCUGAAAAUUUUCGUUCCGUGACGCGCCAGCUCGAAACCUUUUCCGCUCGUUGCCGCGCUGUCUGUGCGAUUCCUUGGUGCGAAUUCAGUUUCGCUUCUGUGGUGCUCGUGCGCGACGGCGCGAAAAAUGAAACGGCAACGGAGUGUGCCUAGUCUAACAGUGGCUCUUACAAGCAGAUUGUCUGACGUUUUCGAAAAUUCAAGAUUGAAUCAGUGAAGGAUUUUCAAAAGUCGUUGGUGUCAACUGCACCAAUGGCUAGGGGCUCACGUAGAUUGAUCGUAGAGAGAGCGUGCCGGUUCCCAACAAGUGAAGUGAAUUGGAUUAUCAUUGGCACUCUGUUUCUUCCGAGCGAUCGUCAUCUCCGAGAAAUACUAGAGUUAGAGAAGAGGAAAUGGGUGUGAAGUUACACACUGAUACUCCCUCCCCCGGUGAAAAGUGUGCAUAUAGAUUUUUUUUUUUUGACUAAUUGUGAAGCGGGUAAAAAAUGCAUUGGGAAUAGGGGUGGGGACUUUUGAACCGAAAACCGAAAAACCGAACCGAGCCGAACCAUAUUAACCGAUUUAUCUAUUAAUUCGGUGAUUCGAUUUUUUGUUCGGUGGGAAAUUUUAAGGCUGUUCGGUGUUUGGUUUCUGUUCAGUUUCCAGUGUCCAAAAACCGAAUACACCGAAAAAACCGAUAUGUACGAUACCCCAUGCAAUACCUUGUUUUCGAAAGUGCAGCGGGGGCGCGUCCUCUGGCAAAUACUUGUUGGUUGUGGCAGACGUCAGGCCAGCCGCUAGAUGAGUUUCGAAUCUCACAAUUUAACUAGUACUCGUAGGAGUAUGUAUGCAUGCCCGGCGCUUGGUUAUGAAAGUAACUAGCAAUUAGUGUAUCAAUUAGUGCAUUAGUUGCUUAGUUUACACGCAUCACACAUAUUCUUCCGUACAUAAUACAUGUAACGCCCCAUGUGAUUUUACACUUAGUUAUGUUCACUAGUUUGCUUGACCGAAUAAAGCACGGACUGAUGUUAAGGUUGCUAGCUCUUGUGAUAUAUACUGAUGAGUGCAUGUAUUUUGGUUUUCCGGUUAACCGAAUAGACCGAGCCGAUAUAUUAUGGUUAAUAUGGUUCGGUUUCUAAAUUUUGUGUGAUUAAUUCGGUUUCCAUUUUUUCAAAACCGAAAUUAUAAAAUACCAAAUAAACCGAACCGUAUUAACCAUAUAAACCGAAUGCCCAGCCCUAAUUAGGAAGAUGCAAAUAGUCCUGGCCAUCUCCGGCCCGGCCCUGUCGGCCCGCCCAGGCUCGGCCCUAAAAUCCAGGGCCUAGGCCCGAUGGGCUUGCCCGUGGGCCGGGCUUGGGCCUGAGUUUUGAGCCCACCAACAAGGCUUGUACGAGUUUGGGCUUGGCAUAUUGGCAUUUUAAGAAAGAGGCCCGGCCCACGGCCCUAAGCCCUAAGGACUUUUCAGGGCUUUUUACUAUAUGGGUCGGGCUUGGGCUUGAAAAGUAGGCCCGAUGGUAGGGCCUGGACCUCAGUUUUCUGCCAUGUUCUUUUUUAGGCCCGGCCCAUGGCCAGGCAUAGAUGCAAGCCAUCAUCUCUCUCCUGUUUAAAUAUCCAACCCACAAUGAACUAAGUGCAUGUACAAAUUAAGGAGGCCAUGUGUAGAAUGUUAUUGGUCUUAUUACCGUCUGAUGAGAGAAAAGCAUUUUUUUCUACUUUAAAGUGCAUUGGGAAGAUAGAAGUACACUCUUUUGUAGACAAAAUUUAAAGCCAAACAUACACUUUUUACUGGACAAUUUUUUGCAUUGGAACUGACUGAUUAGAAACGAAUAAAUACACACUGUGGGACAUAAUUUAAACUUGUAAAGGCAUGCAUAAAAAACGCGGAAUUGACAUUUAUAUAGGAACACGGUGACUCUAGUGUUCCCUUCACUCUAUAACAACAUCCUGAACCGCUGUAUUGGGUGCCUUAGAGCAUCUCCAACAGUCGCCGAACGCGUCGCGCGUAAAAAAUGGCUUUAGUACGCGCUCAUCGUCUGGUUUGGCGCGGCGCAGCGCCAGCUCCAGCAGCGCGCGCGCCGCUCCAACAGCCGCGCAAAAAAUUGCAGCAUGCGCUCAUUCUAGAAACUAGGAUGUAUGCAUUGGAAGCAUAGAAACUAGAUAGAUUGCAUAGAUUUUUUAAAUGAUACAAAGGUAUUUUACAUCAAAAACAUAGAUUGCAUAAAAUAAAAACGACAAACGAUAAAAAACUAAAUAGAUAGCAUAAAAAACUACUCUAAGUCGCUAUCAUCAUCAUCAUUAUCAUCCUCGGCGGUGUUGUCCGAGGUAUCUAGCCAUAUGUCCAACCAACGAUCAUCGUUCUCCGUGAAGAACGACCUCCCACCUGCUGCAACGAGAUCGGAUUGCGCGUUCGCCAACGCCUUCCGCGCGACGCAUGUCCAACCGCGCCUCGUGGCGCCUUCGCGUGUCCUCCUCGCGACGCCUUGCCCAGUAGACUUGCUCGUAGGCGACGUCCUCCGGGUGGCGCCGGCGCCACUCCGCCAUGACCCGCUCGUCCUCCUGGGCGACGAGGAGGCGGCGCUGCCGCUCGGCGUGCUCCGCACGGUCUUGUGCCGUGUUCAGACGAGGCGGCGGGGCGACGUCGAGCGCCUGCUGGAGCGUGUACACAUCUUGGAAGUUCAUCUGGCUGCGCGGCCGGCCUAUGCGCCACGCCACCGCGUCGUACGCGCGGGCGGCCUCGCGCGCCGUCCCGUACGUGCCGAGGCCGAGCCGGAGAUCGCCGGAGCGUAUCUCCGCGUAAUAGCCGCCGUUGGGGCGCAGGCGGACGCCACGGUAGCCGAACGCUCCUCGGCGGCGCGGCGGCAUGGCGACGCGGCGGUGGCGGGGCGUUGGGGCGGUGGAGGCGCGUCGGUGGCGUGGCGCUGGAGCGGCGCGUGGCAAAGAGGGAGAGGAAGAGGAGAAGAGGAGGCGUGGAGAGGCGCGUGGCGCGCCGCACUUUAUAGGCGUGCCGGAAGCGGUGCGCAAAAGAUGACGCGCGAGCUGACGCCUUUUCGCGCGCGCGUGUAAACGGUUCCCGCGCGUGUGAUUUUUCCCGCCACCGCUGGAGCGCGGCAAAACGCCCCGCGCGCGCUAAAGCUGUGUGUACCGCGCACGCGCGUCGUUUCGUGCGGCCGUUGGAGAUGCUCUUAAAAAGCAUGGUUGUUCUACUCUGUACCGGACUGGGAUCCUACGAAUCGGGUAGAUACAGCACCAACAACUUCAUGCUGCUCGGAGCUUUUCACGGAACUUGUCGUUUUUAUUCUGCUUCAGUUAUCUUGCUGCCCAUACUUGAUAGUGAUUUUUUCCUCUUUUUUCCAUACUAGUGUAUACGUAGUAUAUUUUUAGCUGGAGAGCCAAAUUUUGGUUGUGUUAAUAUUGCAAAAUGAGAGGGUCUUUUUUUUUUUUGACUGUGGAGAGGGUCUUUUGUUGUGUCAAGUACUUUUGUGUCUGUCUCUUCAGAGUGUGUCGCGUUCUUGUAUCAGGUGCUCACUUUCAAAAAGAUGUUCCUGAAGUUGUUGAUGUUGGGCUGUGGCAAAGCUGUUGGCAUCAAAAAGAGAAGACUGAAAUCUUUACAUUGAGUGUAAUCAAUCAAAAUAUCGGUUUAACCUCCUAUGAGCAGACAUCUUUUAUAUAUGAGUCCCGCUUCGGUACAACCCCCUAGAAAACGUAUAAAGGGCAGUAUAGUCUUUUCACAAGGUUUCUUACUUUACAUGUAUGAUACCCGCGAAUAUAUACGCCAUACGUACCCCUGACCAGGCUGGCCCAUUAAGGUUUCCGCAUUAUGCAACAGUAUGACAGCGAUCUACUCCCUCCGUUCCUAAAUAUUUGUCUUUUUAGAGGUUUCAAAUGAUGACUACAUACGGAACAAAAUGAGUGAAUCUACACUUUAAAAAAUGUCUAUAUACAUCCGUAUGUGGUGACCAUUUAAAAUCUCUAGAAAGACAAAUAUUUAGGAACGGAGGGAGUAUAGUCUUUUCACAAGGUUUCUUACUUUACAUGUAUGAUACCCGCGAAUAUAUACGCCAUACGUACCCCUGACCAGGCUGGCCCAUUAAGGUUUCCGCAUUAUGCAACAGUAUGACAGCGAUCUACUCCCUCCGUUCCUAAAUAUUUGUCUUUUUAGAGGUUUCAAAUGAUGACUACAUACGGAACAAAAUGAGUGAAUCUACACUUUAAAAAAUGUCUAUAUACAUCCGUAUGUAGUCAAAGCUGUUGGCAUCAAAAAGAGAAGACUGAAAUCUUUACAUUGAGUGUAAUCAAUCAAAAUAUCGGUUUAACCUCCUAUGAGCAGACAUCUUUUAUAUAUGAGUCCCGCUUCGGUACAACCCCCCUAGAAAACGUAUAAAGGGCAGUAUAGUCUUUUCACAAGGUUUCUUACUUUACAUGUAUGAUACCCGCGAAUAUAUACGCCAUAUGUACCCCUGACCAGGCUGGCCCAUUAAGGUUUCCGCAUUAUGCAACAGUAUGACAGCGAUCUACUCCCUCCGUUCCUAAAUAUUUGUCUUUUUAGAGGUUUCAAAUGAUGACUACAUACGGAACAAAAUGAGUGAAUCUACACUUUAAAAAAUGUCUAUAUACAUCCGUAUGUGAUGACCAUUUAAAAUCUCUAGAAAGACAAAUAUUUAGGAACGGAGGGAGUAUAGUCUUUUCACAAGGUUUCUUACUUUACAUGUAUGAUACCCGCGAAUAUAUACGCCAUACGUACCCCUGACCAGGCUGGCCCAUUAAGGUUUCCGCAUUAUGCAACAGUAUGACAGCGAUCUACUCCCUCCGUUCCUAAAUAUUUGUCUUUUUAGAGGUUUCAAAUGAUGACUACAUACGGAACAAAAUGAGUGAAUCUACAUUUUAAAAUAUGUCUAUAUACAUUCGUAUGUGGUGACCAUUUAAAAUCUCUAGAAAGACAAAUAUUUAGGAACGGAGGGAGUAAUAUAUAGACAAGAAUAAAAAGCAAUCACAUAAUGAUUCGAACCUCGCACCUCUAGCCCACAGAGGAAAGUUGCAAACCAGUCACCCUGUGAAGCUUUGGUAAUAAAAUCUGAGCGCGCCCCUUAAAGAGCUACUACGCAGAAUAUGAAAACACGAGCAUUUCUGAAAUAAAAAACAAAAAAUCAAACAUUUUGAGAAGUCGUGAAUAUUUCUUUUUAAAAAAGAAGGAAAUCUGGAAUUUCCGAGUUUUUGUGAAAACGUGAAUGUUUUUAGAGUUCUGAGAAAAAAUCCAACAUGACAUCGUUUUUUAAACAAUCAGAACAAGUUUUAGAGAACAUGAUUUUUUUGGAAAGCUCUGUACAUUUUUAAAAUACUAAAGAACUUUUAAAAAUGUGAAUAUUGUUUUGAAAUGUUUGAAAAAAGUCACAAACAUUUUUUAGAAGAAAAAUAAAUAUGAAAAUAACGAACAAACAAAAAAGAAAAAAAAGAAAACAAUGAAAAAGAAACACAAAGCAAAAUAAAAGGAAAAAAUAAAAAGAAUAAAACUGGAAACACGGUAAAAUAAAAGUAGAAAACUAGAAGGUUCCCAAGUUGGGGUGGGGGUAGUUCCUACGCUAUCUGCAGAAAUGGCUGACCCAAACUCGUCUCUCGGCCGCUUGCCUUAUGCGAAACAGGGGCAAUCUGAAGUAUUUUGCUGCUUUUCUCAAAGAAAAAUCUUUAUUCUUCCCUUCUUUUUCUACUUUUUUGUUUUCAUUCUCUUUCUUCGUCAAUUCUUUUCUAUUUUUACUUUAUUAUUAUUUUUGAAAUCUUUAUUUUUUUAAAUAUUGUUUGCAAUACCAAACUAGCCAUACAAUGAUGAAAGGCGUUCAAACCUUGCAUGCAUGCUUUCCAUGGGCAUUCCCACCUUGUUGAAAAAGUUGGGUCAUUUUAAUAUGUCCAAAAACAGACGAUAUUCAUCGGAGGGUGUUCGGGUAAGGCUAGAAGGGCCCAUUUGAAAGCACAUUUUUUUCGACGACCCUCAAAUGAUCCAAAUGCUUUCCAUCAGCUUAUGUGACCAACAAUGCAUCAUACCAAGCUUUUUGGAUUUUUGACAAGUUUUGCAUUUUUUGGAGUUUUCUUGAUGACAAGAGCCGCUAAAAUGAUCGGAAGUGUCGCAUCGUGUAAACACGUCAGAACUUAUUAAUACCUAACAUGAAUGGCUCAUAUGUCUGUGGCAGGCUGCAUAAAAAAGUUGGGGUCAUUUAUCCAUAAUACAAAAAAACACCAUUUGAAAAGUGUGUGUCACAUCAAGCCUCACUGAGCAUGUUCCUUUUCCUAAUUGAUUGCUUCUGUUAAUUGCGAUUUUGUCAUUAUCAAUCAAUAUGAACAUUUUCCUAUGUCCUAACCAUUUAUUGAAAUUGCUCGACAGUUUUGAAAUUUCAAAUUGUGUAUGAAAAAUUUACAAACUUGAUUUUUUUCCAAAAGUGUUAUAAAAUAUCAACAAUUGACGAAAGUUGUAAGGCAUGUACUUUUUAAAAAUUUAUUAUUUUUUUAUUAAAUGCAAAAAUUUCUAAAUUUGUGAACUAAAAAUACAAAAUGUGAAAUGUUGUGAAAUUGCAGAGAAUUGUUAUUGUAAACUAUAUUUAAAAAGAGAUCUAGUAUUGUAAACAAAUUUUCAAAUUUUUGAACAAAUUUCUAAAAGAAGAAUAAAGUUCAAGAAGGAGAAAAAUGAAUUAACAAAAAAGAGAAGAAAAUCCAAAAAUAUAUAGAACAAAAAUUGCUUAUGAACAACAAAACGAAAACAUGUAUUCAAAAAAUGUUCGUAAUUCUGGAAAAAUGUUUGUUUUUCAAUGCUUGAAAUUUUGAAAUAAUAUUUGUGUUUGUCAGUACACGACACAUCUUCCACAAACUUGCUGGGAUCGAGUCCUUGCGGUCGCCUAUUUCAACGCGAAUAGCCCACCGGACAGAAUAAAUCACUAAAAAGGAAAGUGGGAGCUCCAUCCCUACCACUCCUGGCCUUUACUGGCACAAAUAGUACGCCAAAUCAUCUGAACAGCAAUAAUCUGCAUUUGUCUAAAAAAAGCAAUUAUUUGCAUAGCCGCAAAGGUAUCGUAUAUGAUCAUUUGCACAGACCAAAUUCCAAUAUUUCAAAAUAAAAAUGAUCGGUAGCAUAUUUUCUCGGGAGUAACGGAAAAUCCCGUUUCGACCCGUUUCCGAAAAAUUCGUCCGAGAAAAACAACCUAGUUACAGUACAUCAAAUAUAUAUGAUGAUACAUGGCGCUGCAUAUGUAACACCAAAGUUUGUUUGUCCUACGGGCAAGCAACAUGUUCACUGCCCGUCAAGGUUCCGGGUUUGAUACUUAGUAGCCUGCAUUAUUUUUUGAUUUUCGGUACCCCGCUACAGGAUACACUCACUAAUGGGCCGGCCCAUGGCGGACUUUCUCUGGGUUGUCUUUAAUUUUAAGCUCGUGCGACGUAUUUCUAAGAAAGACUAUCCUACCCUUUAUUAUGAAGGGGUAUUAACAGAUCUCAUCCGUUGAUGUGAUUUAGGGGGUUGUACCGAAGCGGAAGUGUUUAUAAGUAUACUUUUUUACGGGGUAUAUAUAAGUAUACUUCAAAGCCGAACAACAAGAGAGGUCAUUAAUUUGUUGUGAAUGGCAGUAUCAAUCUAACUUGGUAUGCUUGCUCCAUUGCAAUUUUGACGGAAUUAUGGUUGAAUUCUGUAUCAUGUCUUCUCCUGACAAAUUAGUAUUUAUCUGAGCUGAUUUGGAUAUCUGAAUACAAUCCGCAAGAGAUCCAAUACAUCAUUGGACCUCUUGAUCAAAUGAACUCAAGGAUGAAGUUCCUGUCACUACGAAGAGAUAUCGUGUAUCUAUAUCGGUGAGUCCGCAGAUGGAAGCAAAAGCACAAAUGUUGAUCCUGAUUAACUUAUACUAGCAGUUAAACGAACCACAUCGUGAAUUGGCCACUAUGAGAUAGUUGCACAUUACAAGUCAGACAACAAAUUUCUGCACCUAGAACUAUGGAUUUGGUCGACCGUAGCAACUCAAUCUAGAAAUUGAUGUACGAAUGGCAGACUAAUCCCAGUCGAACUUCCGCUCCAUGCCCACUAGGUGUUCGAAUUCGACGGAAUUCCCCAAGGUAUAUUUCUUUCCCUUUUGUUGUGACAUAGGAGUAGAUUGUGAUGGAAGAUGUCAAACUUUGUGUUAUGUUUGAUGAACAGGUGUGUUGAAUUUGAGAUUGUGAAUUGAUGAACCAUGUAAUAAUUAUGCACUAUUUUUGUGUUUUAUUUGUUUCAGACUUAUUUGACAUGAGUUUGAUAUUAUUUGUUUCAGAUUACUUAAAAAUGUUUGAUAGUUGUAGAAAAAUAUUGGUGCCCAAAAAUCUUCUCUCUCUCCUACCCUAAAACCAUUUUUAGGGCCUCAAUUUUUAUGUCGUCAAAGAUGCUUUAAAUGCAGCACCAAGAACUUCGUACGCUGAAGCUUUGGGGAGGAACUUGUCAUCUCUAUCUCUACGUUACUUCAGUCAUCUUGCUGCCCAUACUUGAUACUAGUGAUUUUCCAUUUCUUUUCCUCAUCGGUGUACACGUAUACUCCCUCCGUUCCGAUUUACUUGUCAUGGUUUUAGUUCAUUUUGAACUAAAACCACGACGAGUAAAUCGGAACGGAGGGAGUAGUUUUUAACAGGUCUUUUUGUUGUGUACUUCGGCAUAUGCUUGUAUCCUACCUUCAGACUGUUUGCACCACGUUUCUGUUCAGUCGUGUCAUAAUAGGCGCUCCUGAAGUUGUACAUGCCAGUAAAAGGAGCAGACUUCCUUACGUAAAUUGUUUUUCAAAGCCCAUUACUGUUCUGACGGAAUGAUGAUUUUGCAAUCUGUAUUAUGUGCUCUCAAGAGAAUAUAAUUAUUCCUUUAUUCGAGUUGUUAUUUGAGCUGUUCUGGAAAUUGGCACACAAUUCACAGGACCCUUGAGCCAAAAGAUCAGUAAUCGUCAAGAUUAUUUUUUUUUAGGAUUAGAUGAUUCACAAAUCAUAAGUAGGUCGCUCCAAUUCGCCCCUUUUUAUCUGAAAUGUCGUGAAAGAAGCAUUCGUACAGUGACAUGACACCUACUGUUACUAUUGGAUCUAAGCUAUACUUCCCUAAAGCACCAGGCGCUCAUGUUCCCAUGAUUCGAGAUGUCAUUGUGUCACUCCUAAUAAGCAUUGUAAAAUUAGCAAAACUAAAAAGGAUCAUUCUACUGAUAAGCAGGUUACGGAACAGAGUGCUGCAAAUAAAUCCAGAGGAAAUGCUGCUAUUGGAUUGUACUGAACGAUAUCAUGAUUUGCGCUGCCAAUUUGUUCAUCUGAAAUGCGACACAUCGUGAGAUCAAUCUCACACGAACUUUCACAAGAAAAUAGAAGAGGGGAACACAGCAUUUGCACAUAAUUCACGACAAGGGAUGCGGGUUUCAGUUCGAACUCUGGAUGCAAACAUCUUCAUUACAGUACAUAAUUUCAUGAUCCAGCUAAACAGACAGAGGAAAUGGGAAACAAGGCGGUUUCCAUCUGAGAUUUCUUGAGCGCAACACUACUAGGAACGGGCGGACUAACACAGCGGAAUCUGCAGGCGGCGACGAGGACUGACGACCAUCUGGCGCGGCCUAGCCGCCGAAGCCGUAGAGGGUGCGGCCCUGGCGCUUGAGCGCGUAGACGACGUCCAUGGCGGUGACGGUCUUGCGGCGGGCGUGCUCCGUGUAGGUGACGGCGUCACGGAUGACGUUCUCGAGGAAGAUCUUGAGCACGCCGCGGGUCUCCUCGUAGAUGAGGCCGGAGAUGCGCUUCACGCCGCCCCUCCUCGCCAGGCGCCGGAUGGCCGGC